GAUGAACGCUGGCGGCGUGCUUAACACAUGCAAGUCGAACGGUGAAGGCGGAGCUUGCUCUGCUGGAUCAGUGGCGAACGGGUGAGUAACACGUGAGCAAUCUGCCCCUGACUCUGGGAUAAGCGCUGGAAACGGCGUCUAAUACUGGAUACGAGCUGCGAAGGCAUCUUCAGCAGCUGGAAAGAAUUUCGGUCAGGGAUGAGCUCGCGGCCUAUCAGCUUGUUGGUGAGGUAAUGGCUCACCAAGGCGUCGACGGGUAGCCGGCCUGAGAGGGUGACCGGCCACACUGGGACUGAGACACGGCCCAGACUCCUACGGGAGGCAGCAGUGGGGUAUAUUGCACAAUGGGCGAACUCCUGAUGCAGCAACGCCGCGUGAGGGACGACGGCCUUCGGGUUGUAAACCUCUUUUAGCAGGGAAGAAGCGAAUGUGACGGUACCUGCAGAAAAAGCGCCGGCUAACUACGUG
rnacentral:rRNA from 1 species